UACAGAGGGCGCGAGUCGGUUGAUCCGGAAUCAGCUAGGGCGUAAGGCGCGUAGGUGGCCAACUAUAAGGCCGCGGUCGAAAGUUCGGGGCUCAACCCUGAAUCGGACCGCGGCGACUGUAGGGCUUGGGCACUGUAGGAGGCAUGGAUGGAAUUCCGGGGUGGUAAGCGGUGGAAUGCGUAGAGAUCCGGAACGAAGACACCGGUGGCGAAGGCGGUCUG
rnacentral:rRNA from 1 species